CGACAAGCAAAAGAAGGGCGUAUGGGGAAUGCCUAGGCUCUCAGAGGCGAUGAAGGACGUGAUAAGCUGCGAAAAGCUGCGGGGAUUGGCACAUACAAAUUGAUCCGCAGAUAUCCGAAUGGGGCAACCCAGCAUAUUGAAGAUAUGUUAUCCGAAAGGAGGCGAACCCGGAGAACUGAAACAUCUAAGUACCCGGAGGAGAAGAAAACAAAAGUGAUUCCGAUAGUAGCGGCGAGCGAACUCGGAUUAGCCCAAACCAGUGUUGUUACGGCAAUGCUGGGGUUGUAGGACCACGAUAUUUGAUGCGUAAUGAAUUAGAACACUUUGGAAAGAGUGACCAGAGAGGGUGAUAGUCCCGUAUAAGUAAAGAUCGUUAUUGAUAGUGGUAUCCUGAGUAGUGCGGGGCACGUGUAACCCUGUAUGAAUUUGGCGGGACCAUCCGUUAAGGCUAAAUACUCCUGAG
rnacentral:rRNA from 1 species